rnacentral:lncRNA from 1 species
GAGGCAGGCGGAUCACGAGGUCAGGAGAGCGAGACCAUCCUGGCUAACAUGGUGAGAAACCCUGUCUCUACUAAAAAUACAAAAAAUUAGCCGGGCGUGGUGGCGGGUGCCUGUAGUCCCAGCUACUUGGGAGGCUGAGGCAGGAGAAUGGCCUGAACCCAGGAGGCAGAGCUUGCAGUGAGCUAAGAUCGCGCCACUGCACUCCAGCCUGGGCGACAGAGCGAGACUCCAUCUCAAGAAAAAAAAAAAAAAAGAAUUAAGCUUGUCCAUCACAAGCACAGGAAGAGCUAGACAUCUUCCAACCAGCCUGUCGGGCAUGCUUGCUUGCCUUCUGUGGGCAGGCUGACACCAAAGAGAAAGGGGCUGAGUGGAGCAUGCCUGGGUCCUGCUUCCAAACACUCCAGUCAGAUCCCUGAGGAAUAUGAAAAGCAUGCGGAGAGGUGCUGACUGUCACUCCAGUAAUAUCCCUCCCCAUGGAGCCAGGAGCAGUGGGAAUAAAAGUCCCUCUCAACGUAGACGCACAUACACCCACUACGAGGUUUCCAGAAGUCCAUGCGUCUGUGGGCUCAGGCACUUCCCAUGGCAGCUCCUCCACCUUCCUUUCCUGAUAUCCAGCAGCUUGGACUGGAGAGGUUCUCACUGACACACGGGGCUGUCUUUGUUCAACAACGCUUGGAAGAACAAGGUAACACUAUAUCUUUAAUGCUUCACUGCCGAAGGGAAUUCAGACUGGCUUAAUGCUCAGAGAAGAAAACCCUGAAAGGCCUUCUUCAUAUUCUGUAUCCAGCGUGAUGAAAAUGGGUGUAAGACAUGUGUUCCAAUAAUAGGCACCAUCCUUUCUCCCCAUUUCUGCAUAAUUUGUUUUUAUCCCAUAUUGCUCAAUGUAUAUUUGUUAUCCGGAAGGGCCGCCUGGUCUCACUCUCACUUCCAUGCUCCAGCUCUAUCACUUCAUAGAAAGGAGAGAGCUCACAUUUUAUAGACAAGUUAUUUCAAGAACCUCUCACAAGCAAGACCGUUUC